AAGUCGUAACAAGGUUUCCGUAGGUGAACCUGCGGAAGGAUCAUUACCAAAUCCAAAAAAAACUUUCUAUCAACACCCCAAUGUGAACUGAGAAUGGUUUCGUCCCUCCGAAUUCUUCUCUUCUUCGGAAGAAAGGGAGGAGGAGGGAUGUUCAAACACAUUUUUUUUUCAACCCCUUUUCAACCAUUAAAACCCCAUUUUUUUAAUGCUGAAAGCAAAACAAAAAAUACGAAACAUGAGACAACUUUUAACGGUGGAUCUCUUGGCUCGU
rnacentral:misc_RNA from 1 species